rnacentral:piRNA from 1 species
UCUCCAUCUAAGAAAAGUAGUAGGCAGCA